rnacentral:rRNA from 1 species
GACGAACGCUGGCGGCGUGCCUAGUACAUGCAAGUAGAACGCUGAAGAGAGGAGCUUGCUCUUCUUGGAUGAGUUGCGAACGGGUGAGUAACGCGUAGGUAACCUGCCUUGUAGCGGGGGAUAACUAUUGGAAACGAUAGCUAAUACCGCAUAACAAUGGAUGACACAUGUCAUUUAUUUGAAAGGGGCAAUUGCUCCACUACAAGAUGGACCUGCGUUGUAUUAGCUAGUAGGUGAGGUAAUGGCUCACCUAGGCGACGAUACAUAGCCGACCUGAGAGGGUGAUCGGCCACACUGGGACUGAGACACGGCCCAGACUCCUACGGGAGGCAGCAGUAGGGAAUCUUCGGCAAUGGGGGCAACCCUGACCGAGCAACGCCGCGUGAGUGAAGAAGGUUUUCGGAUCGUAAAGCUCUGUUGUAAGUCAAGAACGGGUGUGAGAGUGGAAAGUUCACACUGUGACGGUAGCUUACCAGAAAGAGACGGCUAACUACGUG